rnacentral:ncRNA from 1 species
AGCCGAUCCUAACGGACGGGGUAACCCCGGCAGAUAGCACGAUCACGCGCAUCCCCCGAAAGGGAAUCGGGUUAAGAUUGCUUGAGCCGGGAUGUGGCGGUUGACGACGACGUUAGGAAGUUUGGAGACGUCGGCGGGUGCCUCGGGAAGAGUUAUCGUUUCUACUUGACGGCCUUCCAACCUAUGAAAUGGUUCAGCCGGAGGUAUUGUCCAGUGGCCGGAAGAGCACCGCACGUCGCGCGGUGUCCGGUGCGCCCCCGGCGGCCC